AUUGAACGCUGGCGGCAGGCUUAACACAUGCAAGUCGAGCGGUAACAGGGGGUGCUUGCACCCCGCUGACGAGCGGCGGACGGGUGAGUAAUGCUUAGGAAUCUGCCCAGUAGUGGGGGAUAGCCCGGGGAAACCCGGAUUAAUACCGCAUACGUCCUACGGGAGAAAGCAGGGGAUCUUCGGACCUUGCGCUAUUGGAUGAGCCUAAGUCGGAUUAGCUAGUUGGUGGGGUAAAGGCCUACCAAGGCAACGAUCCGUAGCUGGUUUGAGAGGAUGAUCAGCCACAUCGGGACUGAGACACGGCCCGAACUCCUACGGGAGGCAGCAGUGGGGAAUAUUGGACAAUGGGGGCAACCCUGAUCCAGCCAUGCCGCGUGUGUGAAGAAGGCUUUCGGGUUGUAAAGCACUUUCAGUAAGGAGGAAAACCUUACGGUUAAUAACCGUGAGGCUUGACGUUACUUACAGAAGAAGCACCGGCUAACUCCGUGCCAGCAGCCGCGGUAAUACGGAGGGUGCAAGCGUUAAUCGGAAUUACUGGGCGUAAAGCGCGCGUAGGUGGUUCGAUAAGCGGGAUGUG
rnacentral:rRNA from 1 species